rnacentral:misc_RNA from 1 species
GGGAAAAUGAUUUUAUGUUUACUCAAUCUUGCUAAAUCUGAAAUCAGGAGGCCGCUGCUCUAGCUGCCAGCGAGGUGGCGUUCAUCCUGCAAUCCAGUCAGGCAAGGGGUCUGCAGUUCACCAUCGCACCGGAAUCGCCAGCUACCCCCCAGCAAGAACCGCAUCAAUAACUGCUGCCUUUACUAUGUUUUCACUGUGUUGUAUUUUGCUUUGGUGAGGUGAUGUUUACAGGGCUGGUGGUGCAUUUACCCCCUCCCAGUUUUAUUAGGGGUUUGCAACCUCUUUUCCUGACGACCACUUUAACUUGUUCCUG